AGGGGUGUGGCUCAUUGGUAGAGCACUUGCCUGGCAUGUGUGAGGCACUGGGUUUGAUCCUCAGCACCACAU
rnacentral:tRNA from 1 species